rnacentral:rRNA from 1 species
AGGGAGCGAGCGUUGUCCGGAAUUACUGGGUGUAAAGGGAGCGUAGGCGGGGAUGCAAGUUGGGUGUGAAAACUACCGGCUCAACCGAUAGUGGCACUCAAAACUGCAGCUCUUGAGUGAAGUAGAGGCAGGCGGAAUUCCUAGUGUAGCGGUGAAAUGCGUAGAUAUUAGGAGGAACACCAGUGGCGAAGGCGGCCUGCUGGGCUUUUACUGACGCUGAGGCACGAAAGCGUGGGUAUCGA